rnacentral:rRNA from 1 species
GUGAGGAAUAUUGGUCAAUGGACGAGAGUCUGAACCAGCCAAGUCGCGUGAAGGAAGACGGUUCUAUGAAUUGUAAACUUCUUUUGUGCAGGAAUAAAGUGGGUUACGUGUAACCUUUUGUAUGUACUGUACGAAUAAGGAUCGGCUAACUCCGUGCCAGCAGCCGCGGUAAUACGGAGGAUCCGAGCGUUAUCCGGAUUUAUUGGGUUUAAAGGGUGCGUAGGUGGAUUGAUAAGUCAGCGGUGAAAGUUUGCAGCUUAACUGUAAAAUUGCCGUUGAAACUGUCGGUCUUGAGUGCAAAUGAGGUAGGCGGAAUGUGUUGUGUAGCGGUGAAAUGCUUAGAUAUAACACAGAACUCCGAUUGCGAAGGCAGCUUACUGGGAUGCAACUGACACUGAUGCUCGAAAGCGUGGGUAUCAAACAGGAUUAGAAACCCCGGUAGUCC